AAGCAGUGUUUGGACUGCAGGAUGAACAAUCAAUAGGCAGAAAGCAAGAUAGAGGCUUCCUCAGCUUUUGGAUCGACAAUCGACAGCUGAGAGACUAUUUUUUGCUAUGGUUGACUAAAUAUGGUCAGGGAAGAGAGAGGCACAAGAGAGCCUGUUUGCCUGGGAGUGCAUGUUUCAAAUGCUUAGCUGCCUAUAAAGCUGUAACAGUUUAGCCUGUGGCCACUGAGGGAAGAAUUUAAGUUAACCUCUGUAGUGACCAUGUGGAAGUCCUGACCUUGCUUGCAGACUUCACCUCUGGAUAUGACAAGGUGAAGUUCUGUGUUCACUGUAUUUCCCUCUUACUUCACUGGCUCAUGAGAAGAAGUGCUGAAUCAGUGGAUAGAGUGAAGGAACAAUCAAGAUGAGAUGGCUGCUGCUAAAGUGACUCUCUAGGUCAUUAUCUCUCUUCCUGCUGCAAAUGCUGAAUGACACUAGACUUACAGGAUCUAGAAGCAAACUACAAAGUAAGAAGAAAUUUGCUCUGAAGACUAUGAAGAAACACUAGGCUGAUCUUACCAAUUUCUGAAAUACACUCUAAAAUUCCACUGAUUCUAUGAAUCUCUGGCAAAAGGAACCAAACCAGGACAAAGUUCAACACAUAAAUGGUCAGUAUUUAGAAGUGUAAGUCCACCAACAAGGAACCGUAAAUGGCACUAAUGCAAUGCUUCAGGUAAAUUUUUUAUAAAGGUUAGUCUCUGAUAGUCUCUGCAAAUGAUCUACCAUUGUUCUAUAUCAGUAAGCUAAACAUUUUACUAACAAAUGAGAAAAUAAAGCAUUUCAUGUUUUUACAGCUAAGAGCUUAGUAAUACCUACUCAGAGUACAUACUUCUUUAUGUACCCAUAUGAACAUACAAUGCUAUGGAAUGUAAAGAAGUAUGUAUUUUUGGUAGGUAAUAAACCACCAAGAGGGAACUAAACUGCAGCUAAAAGAAGCCCUUGCUUCUUUCUAUGUGAAUGACCUUCAUAUGGUAAAUUAACCUAGAAUCAGAGAGGUGACUUUUGGAAAUAACAUCAUAAAAAUGUACCUACUUCUUAUAGAUGAAAACUAAAUGUCACUAAGAUUUAUAUUUUGUGAAGAAAAAAGCUCUACUGACGUAGAUUUUAAAUUAUCAUGAAACUCCUUUUAAAUCUUUUACAUUUAAAACAUACUAAAUUUUACAUUUUUAAAUUAAGUACUCAAAUGAUUAAAAUUUGAAUACCAAAAAACAGUACUACUAGCACAAAAGAAUAAGAGAUACACGACCUACUUUCUGUCUCCACAAUUUGAUCUUAAUUUAAAUAUAUCUCAUUAGUAGGGGUGACUGAUUUGUUAAGAAAAACAAGUUAUAACAAAAGCUGAUUUCAUUUACAUUUUAACAGCUAUUCUUCCUAGUUUGAUAAAUCUAUAGUUUAAUAUUAGAGGAAUUUCUGAAGCAAGUUUUGUUGUUUUAGGUUUUCUUUUCUGAAAGCUAUAGACAUAGUCAUAAUUUUAACAGACUACCUUUUAAGUAAAAUUCUGCUCUCAAAGAAAAGUGGUCCUUGUCCUCAAGUUUAUCAGGUCCUUAUGCUAAGUUUGUACUUAGAAUAAAUUAAAACAUAAGAUUUAGGCACGAAAAAUGACAAAAUUCUGGGCCACAGCUAUAAGUCAACAGAGCACAUUGGUAACAGACAGGCAAAUAUUUAAAAGAAAUUAAUUUAUUAUCUAUAUUAUCCUUGAAUUUGCUUUAUCCAAAGGGGACACACAAAAUGAAAACACUAUUGUCAAGAAACCAAUUUACACUGAUAGAACAACCUUCUUUUAAUGGUACUAUGCAAUUACAACUCAAUUUUUAUAAACAUGAUAAACAUACUAUUUACAGUAUAUUAGAGAUAUCAAAAUACCUUUUGCAUUUUAUACAAUUAUAAAUAAUUAGCUUUUAAUAAUUUAUAAGCAGUACCUAUUUUAGCUACUAUGAUAGACUUAGAAAAAAAGAAAUAUUAAUAUUCUAAGCAUUUCUUACUAAAAGUAUUAUUUCAACUUGUAUUAUUCAAAAGUAUUAUUUCAAGACAUGUAAAAAGUAUAAUAAUAUUUAAAAAUUUUUGUGUCACAAGUUGAAUAGAAAUGGCUAUAAGAUUAGCAACUAUAAUUAAUUUUCUGUUAAGACGAGAUAGUUAAUUAUCAAAAGAUGAUUUUCAUUUUAUCAGGUUAUAAAAACUGAGAAUGACUCUAUUAGAUAUGAUAGCACGUAAGUUAUUGUAUGUUUAUUAAAAAUUAUAAAAAUAUGAUUUUAAAAUGCUGUAUUUUCAAAGAAAAAAAUUAGCUCAAAGCUUAAUACUUAAGCAGAGCCCUUCUUUUUGAUCUUCCACAAACAGAAUGGCAAGACUUCAUAUUCAAGUUUAACUGUGCAUGCCCUAAAUAUCAAAAACUGAAAAUAUGUACCUCAAAAGUAAAGUUCCUUCAUAAAACUAUUCAAAGGGUAUUACUAUACCCAUGUUUUAUAAUGAACAACUAUAUUUGUUAUUCUGCAGACAUGAAAGUUUUUAACAAUUAAUUUAAAACAUCCUAGCUACUAAGAAUCUCGUGGUUAUAAUAUUAAGAGUAUAUAAUCCUUAGGAAAUAAAAUAACAGCAUGUUAUUCAUUUUAUAAAGUAAAAUUAUACACUGAUUCUAGUGCUUACAAGUUUAACUUAACAUAUCUAAGAGUAUUUUCAAUCACUCUAAAAUGUCACAUCUAUCACUUAGGUCAGCUGUUCAUUUUUAACUGAGUACAUAUUAAACUCUGGGCAUCUGCUGACGCUGGUGUAACUCAAACAUUUCAACUGUCUCUCUGACAGGGAUAACAGAUGCUGACAUUAUCAAAUGCUGUACUAUUUUUUUUCCAUGGCCUCUCCUUGCCCCGAUAUGGCCAGUAUAUGAAACUGAACUGCCAUCCAAUAGCACACUUGAGCAACUGGAUCUGCUAAACAACUCCCAUAUAACUAGUAAAAAUAGAAGCCAGUUUUACUGCUAUCUUCAGCACUUAAGUCCAGGCAAGUUAACACCUGUUUCACUUCCAUUAGAAUAAAUGAUGGAAAAAAUUAUAGUUACAUUAAUUUCACCAGCAGCAUGAUACUUACUAACCAACAGAUGCAGAAUAUACUUAAUAUGAAAAUUAUAUGAAUAUUGCCUGAAUUAGUAUUGACCUUCUCUCCCUUCUCCUGGUUUAAUUAAAAAUAGUCAUUAUUUCUUUACUCCUUAUAUUUCACUGAGAUCACUUACCUUACAGGCAAACUGUAAUUUCUCAAACUUUUAUCUUAAAUGAGUAUAUUUCAGAAAACAUCCCUUCCCAAUAUUGAAAUGCCACACUGAAAUCACAUUAUAACAAAAAUUUUCUGUACUGAGUUUUAAUGGUAGAUUUUAAUAUUCAAAUUCAUAGACUAUAGCUAACCACAAAUCAGUAUAUUAUUAAGCUGAUAAUGAGAAAUAACUCGGCAAUCUGUAAAGAGAAUUCACUCAAGAAAACAGACCCUUAAAAGGGUUAAACUACUAACCUAUCAUUAGUAACACUGAAUAAGCAAAUACAAAGAAAAAUAAGCUGGCAUGCAUGGUAGUUCCUUUCAACACAAGUCCAAGCAUUACACUGAAUACACGUGCGAUCUAUUUAUAAACCAAAGGGCAGAGGUACUUUCAUAGGCCUAAGUAUAAUACUAAAAAAACAGUGGCAGUAGAAAGGUGUGACUAGCAGUGCUCUUCCCUGUUAGCUUAUUACUUACUUGGUUUACUGCUUAGAGAUAAACAGAAAACAGUACUCCAAAAUGAAUUAAUUUCUAUUUGUUCCUUUAAAUGUUGUUGGUUUUGAAACAGGUUAUGGUCUACAUUUAAGAAUUAAGUAAAGUUGCUGAAAACAAAGAUGUACAUUGGUAAUUCCUUAAUGCAUUAUUAACAUGUUAAAGGGAAAAGAUUGGCACUUUUAGAGCAGGAAACAGUAGGAAAAGUACCUUCAAAUAGAGAAUUUUACAUUCGAUGACCAAAGUACUGAUACGAGAAUCACUAACAUUUUGUAGAAGGCCCAUAACGAUAACUUUACAAAUAAAAAAGCAUUUUAACUGUUUUGAAGCCCAAACUAGCAGCACUACAAUGCUUUGCUAGAGCUGGUAAAAUGGAACCAAAUCGCCUCUUCAAUGGAUUUGGUCCCCUUCAACCAGCUGUAGCUAUGCAUUGAUUACUACAAGACAGCCAACGUUUUCAUUUAUGAAUCAGUCACAUGUCAACUAAUUUCAACUUCUUUAUAUUAUUCAGAUUGUGCUUUAAAUCAAAUAACUUGUUACUGUUAAUUCCUCUUGUAAGCGCCAUAGUGGUUAAUGAUGUUUAUAAAAAGCUUUAUGAAAAAUGUGUGGAUG